rnacentral:rRNA from 1 species
UGAGUAACGCGUGGGUAACCUGCCUCAUACAGGGCGGAUAACAGUUAGAAAUGACUGCUAAUACCGCAUAAGACCACGGAGCCGCAUGGCUCAGUGGGAAAAACUCCGGUGGUAUGAGAUGGACCCGCGUCUGAUUAGGUAGUUGGUGGGGUAACGGCCUACCAAGCCAACGAUCAGUAGCCGACCUGAGAGGGUGACCGGCCACAUUGGGACUGAGACACGGCCCAAACUCCUACGGGAGGCAGCAGUGGGGAAUAUUGCACAAUGGGGGAAACCCUGAUGCAGCGACGCCGCGUGAGCGAAGAAGUAUUUCGGUAUGUAAAGCUCUAUCAGCAGGGAAGAUAGUGACGGUACCUGACUAAGAAGCUCCGGCUAAAUACGUGCCAGCAGCCGCGGUAAUACGUAUGGAGCAAGCGUUAUCCGGAUUUACUGGGUGUAAAGGGAGUGUAGGUGGCCAGGCAAGUCAGAAGUGAAGGCCCGGGGCUCAACCCCGGGACUGCUUUUGAAACUGCAGGGCUAGAGUGCAGGAGGGGCAAGUGGAAUUCCUAGUGUAGCGGUGAAAUGCGUAGAUAUUAGGAGGAACACCAGUGGCGAAGGCGGCUUGCUGGACUGUAACUGACACUGAGGCUCGAAAGCGUGGGGAGCAAACAGGAUUAGAUACCCUGGUAGUC